rnacentral:lncRNA from 1 species
UGGCAUGUCAUGGAUAAAUCAUCAAACCUAAUCAUCGAUCAUAUAAUAGAUUCAAUUAGCUUGAGUCUGUGUGAUUCUCAUGAAAACUCUUUUUCAUUAAUCAUACUGCUAUGACCAUAGACUUAAGGACUCAGCUUCUUAAAUCUCAUAGAAUUACUCUCCUCUGCUAGGAUCGAUAGAUUCCAUCUAGGUGAGCACCCAAAUCCUACAGUGGACCAA